GGUGACUCAGUGGUAGAGUGCUUGCCUCACAUGCAUGAGGGCCUGGGUUUGAUUCCAGAGCACCA
rnacentral:tRNA from 1 species